rnacentral:rRNA from 1 species
AACGAACGUUGGCGGCGUGGUUGAGGCAUGCAAGUCGCACGAGAACGGGGUAGCAAUAUCCCUAGUAAAGUGGCGGAAGGGUGAGGAAUGGGUAGAUAACGUACCUCGAAGAUGGGCAUAACGGCUCGAAAGAGCCGCUAAUUCCCGAUGAGACCACGGCGGGCAUCUCGCUGAGGUCAAACGCGGAGGACCUCGGGCUUCGCGCUUUGAGAUCGGUCUACUCCCUACCAGCUAGUUGGCGGGGUAAUGGCCCACCAAGGCUACGACGGGUACCCGGGCUGAGAGGCUGAUCGGGCACAUCGGCAC